rnacentral:rRNA from 1 species
UUAUUUAUUCUGAUGGUGGCACAUAAUCGGAGGCCCCGACUGUUUACUUAAAACACAGCUUUCUGCAACGAUUAAUAUCUUUGUAUAGGAAGCGAAUUUUGCCCAAUGCCAUUAAUAUAAUGUUGAUAACCUUUUUAGUGUUUAUUGAUUGAAGUUCUGGUCAAUGGCGGUCUUAACCAUGAGGAUCCUAAGGUAGCAAAAUUAAUUGUCCAUUAAAUGUGGUCCCGACUGAAUAAAGUAACGAUGGUCUCACUGUCUCUACAAGUAUCUCAGUGAAAUUGAAUUAGCCGUGCAGAUGCGGUUUAACUUCGGGUAGACGGGAAGACCCUAUGCAGCUUCUACUGA